AGAAUAAUAGUUUAUUUAAAAUUUUUAAUUUGCAUUUAAAAGAAAUUUAUAUUAAAUUUAUUUUA
rnacentral:tRNA from 1 species